rnacentral:rRNA from 1 species
CCUACGGGAGGCAGCAGCAGGGAAUAUUGCACAAUGGACGGAAGUCUGAUGCAGCGACGCCGCGUGGAUGAUGAAGGCCUUCGGGUCGUAAAAUCCUUUUCGGGGAGAAGAGAAAGGACGGUACCCCCGGAAUAAGCGUCGGCUAACUACGUGCCAGCAGCCGCGGUAAUACGUAGGACGCGAGCGUUAUCCGGAUUUACUGGGCGUAAAGCGUCUGUAGGCGGUCAGGUAAGUUGGACGUGAAAGCUCCGGGCUUAACCCGGAGAGGCCGUUCAAUACUGCUUGACUGGAGGGCGUGAGAGGGGAGCGGAAUUCCCGGUGUAGCGGUAAAAUGCGCAGAUAUCGGGAGGAACACCAGUGGCGAAGGCGGCUCCCUGGUACGAACCUGACGCUGAGAGACGAAAGCUAGGGGAGCGAACAGGAUUAGAGACCCUGGUAGUCCUAGCCCUAAACGCUGGAUGCUAGGUGUGGGGCCGAAUAGGCUCUGUGCCGCAGCUAACGCGCUAAGCAUCCCGCCUGGGGAGUACGG